AUUGAACGCUGGCGGCAUGCCUUACACAUGCAAGUCGAACGGCAGCACGGGAGCAAUCCUGGUGGCGAGUGGCGAACGGGUGAGUAAUAUAUCGGAACGUGCCCAGUCGUGGGGGUUAACGUAGCGAAAGCUACGCUAAUACCGCAUACGAUCUAUGGAUGAAAGCGGGGGAUCGCAAGACCUCGCGCGAUUGGAGCGGCCGAUAUCAGAUUAGGUAGUUGGUGAGGUAAAGGCUCACCAAGCCGACGAUCUGUAGCUGGUCUGAGAGGACGACCAGCCACACUGGGACUGAGACACGGCCCAGACUCCUACGGGAGGCAGCAGUGGGGAAUUUUGGACAAUGGGCGCAAGCCUGAUCCAGCAAUGCCGCGUGCAGGAUGAAGGCCUUCGGGUUGUAAACUGCUUUUGUACGGAGCGAAAAGGCUUCCACUAAUACUGGGGGCUCAUGACGGUACCGUAAGAAUAAGCACCGGCUAACUACGUGCCAGCCGCCGCAGUAAUAC
rnacentral:rRNA from 1 species